UACGUAGGGUGCAAGCGUUAAUCGGAAUUACUGGGCGUAAAGCGUGCGCAGGCGGUGAUGUAAGACAGUUGUGAAAUCCCCGGGCUCAACCUGGGAACUGCAUCUGUGACUGCAUCGCUGGAGUGCGGCAGAGGGGGAUGGAAUUCCGCGUGUAGCAGUGAAAUGCGUAGAUAUGCGGAGGAACACCGAUGGCGAAGGCAAUCCCCGUGGGCCUGCACUG
rnacentral:rRNA from 1 species